GAUGAAGAACGUAGCGAAAUGCGAUAAGUAAUGUGAAUUGCAGAAUUCAGUGAAUCAUCGAAUCUUUGAACGCACAUUGCGCCCGCCAGUAUUCUGGCGGGCAUGCCUGUUCGAGCGUCAUUACAACCCUCAGGCCCCCGGGCCUGGCGUUGGGGAUCGGCGGAGCCCCCCGUGGGCACACGCCGUCCCCCAAAUGCAGUGGCGGUCCCUCCGCAGCUUCCAUCGCGUAGUAGCUAACACCUCGCGACUGGAGAGCGGCGCGGCCACGCCGUAAAACACCCAACUCUUCUGAAGUUGACCUCGAAUCAGGUAGGAAUACCCGCUGAACUUAAGCAUAUCAAUAAGCGGAGGA
rnacentral:misc_RNA from 1 species